rnacentral:rRNA from 1 species
CCUACGGGUGGCUGCAGUGAGGAAUAUUGCGCAAUGGGGGAAACCCUGACGCAGCAACGCCGCGUGAGUGAGGAAGGUUUUCGGACCGUAAAGCUCUGUCGAGCGGGAAGAAGUGCAUGGUGGCUAAUAUCCAUCAUGCUUGACGGUACCGCUAAAGGAAGCACCGGCUAACUCCGUGCCAGCAGCCGCGGUAAUACGGGGGGUGCUAUCGUUCGUCGGGAGCAUGGGGCGGGCUGAGCAAGUCAGAUGCGAAAGCCCUGGGCUUAACCUAGGAAGUGCAUUUGAAACUGUUCAGCUGGAGUAAGGGAGAGGAAAGUGGAAUUCCUGGUGUAGAGGUGAAAUUCGUAGAUAUCAGGAGGAACACCGGUGGCGAAGGCGACUUUCUGGCCCUAUACUGACGCUGAGACGCGAGAGCGUGGGUAGCAAACAGGAUUAGAUACCCGAGUAGUC